GAUGAACGCUGGCGGCGUGCCUAAUACAUGCAAGUCGAGCGAACGGACGAGAAGCUUGCUUCUCUGAUGUUAGCGGCGGACGGGUGAGUAACACGUGGAUAACCUACCUAUAAGACUGGGAUAACUUCGGGAAACCGGAGCUAAUACCGGAUGAUAUUUUGAACCGCAUGGUUCAAAAGUGAAAGACGGUCUUGCUGUCACUUAUAGAUGGAUCCGCGCUGCAUUAGCUAGUUGGUAAGGUAACGGCUUACCAAGGCAACGAUGCAUAGCCGACCUGAGAGGGUGAUGGGCCACACUGGAACUGAGACACGGUCCAGACUCCUACGGGAGGCAGCAGUAGGGAAUCUUCCGCAAUGGGCGAAAGCCUGACGGAGCAACGCCGCGUGAGGGAUGAAGGUCUUCGGAUCGUAAAACUCUGUUAUUAGGGAAGAACAUAUGUGUAAGUAACUGUGCACAUCUUGACGGUACCUAAUCAGAAAGCCACGGCUAACUACGUG
rnacentral:rRNA from 1 species